rnacentral:rRNA from 1 species
AGGACAAACGUUGGCGGUGCGUCUUAGACAUGCAAGUCGAGCGUGAAAGCCCGCAAGGGUGAGUAAAGCGGCGAACGGGUGAGUAAUACUUGGGUAACGUACCUUUUAGAUUGGGAUAACGCGCCGAAAGGCGUGCUAAUACCAGAUAUGACCACGAUCUCUUUGGAGGUUGAGGUAAAAGAUGGCGCAAGCUAUCACUAGAAGAUCGGCUCAAGCACCAUUAGCUAGUUGGCGGGGUAAUGGCCCACCAAGGCUACGAUGGUUAGCCGGCCUGAGAGGGUGAUCGGCCACACUGGGACUGAGAUACGGCCCAGACUCCUACGGGAGGCAGCAGUUUGGAAUAUUCCACAAUGGGCGCAAGCCUGAUGGAGCGACACCGCGUGAAGGAUGAAGGUCUUCGGAUCGUAAACUUCUUUAGACCUAGAUGAAGAUUGCAAGGUAAAUAAUCUUGCAAUUUGACAGUAUAGGUAGAAUAAGCCACGGCUAACUCUGUG